ACAUCUUCUGCCAACCUAAGAGAUUAGGCGUUCCCUUCGGGGACAGAAUGACAGGUGGUGCAUGGUUGUUGUCAGCUCGUGUCGUGAGAUGUUGGGUUAAGUCCCGCAACGAGCGCAACCCUUAUUGUUAGUUGUCAGCAUUCAGUUGGGCACUCUAGCAAGACUGCCGGUGACAAACCGGAGGAAGGUGGGGAUGACGUCAAAUCAUCAUGCCCCUUAUGACCUGGGCUACACACGUGCUACAAUGGACGGUACAACGAGUUGCGAAACCGCGAGGUCAAGCUAAUCUCUUAAAGCCGUUCUCAGUUCGGAUUGUAGGCUGCAACUCGCCUACAUGAAGUUGGAAUCGCUAGUAAUCGUGGAUCAGCAUGCCACGGUGAAUACGUUCCCGGGCCUUGUACACACCGCCCGUCACACCAUGAGAGUUUGUAACACCCAAAGCCGGUGAGGU
rnacentral:rRNA from 1 species